rnacentral:rRNA from 1 species
CUACGGGGGGCUGCAGUGAGGAAUAUUGCGCAAUGGACGAAAGUCUGACGCAGCAACGCCGCGUGGAGGAAGAAGGUCUUCGGAUUGUAAACUUCUGUUAAUUGGAAAGAAAGGAUAGAUAUUAAUAGUAUCUAUAUAUGACGUUACCGGUUUAGAAAGCCCCGGCUAACUUCGUGCCAGCAGCCGCGGUAAUACGAAGGGGGCGAGCGUUAUUCGGAAUGACUGGGUGUAAAGGGCGUGUAGGCGGUGUAGAAAGUUCAGUAAUUAAUUCUCCGGCCCAACUGGGGAGCUUUAUUGAAAACUAUUAUGCUAGAGUUUGGAAGAGAGGAAUGGAAUUCUCGGAGUAGCGGUGGAAUGCGUAGAUCUCGAGAGGAACGCCAAUGGCGAAGGCAAUUCCUUGGUUCAAUACUGACGCUGAGGCGCGAAGGCAUGGGGAGCAAACAGGAUUAGAUACCCCCGUAGUC